rnacentral:rRNA from 1 species
UACGUGGGCAGCGAGCGUUGUUCGGAAUUACUGGGCGUAAAGGGCGCGUAGGCGGUUCCGUAAGUUGGUUGUGAAAGUUCGAGGCUCAACCUCGAAACUGCGUCCAAUACUGCGGGGCUGGAGUGCAAGAGAGGCAAGUGGAGUUUGCGGUGUAGUAGUGAAAUGCGUAGAUAUCGCAAGGAACACCAGUGGCGAAGGCGGCUUGCUAGCUUGUAACUGACGCUGAGGCGCGAAAGCUAGGGGAGCGAACGGG